AUUGAACGCUGGCGGCAUGCCUUACACAUGCAAGUCGAACGGUAACGCGGGGGCAACCCUGGCGACGAGUGGCGAACGGGUGAGUAAUACAUCGGAACAUAUCCAGUAGCGGGGGAUAACCUAUCGAAAGAUGGACUAAUACCGCAUACGAUCUACGGAUGAAAGCAGGGGACCGCAAGGCCAUGCACCAUUGGACUGGCCGAUGUCGGAUUAGCUAGUUGGUGAGGUAAAGGCUUACCAAGGCGACGAUCCGUAGCUGGUCUGAGAGGACGAUCAGCCACACUGGAACGGAGACACGGUCCAGACUCCUACGGGAGGCAGCAGUGGGGAAUUUUGGACAAGGGGCGCAAGCCUGAUCCGGCCAUGCCGCGUGAGUGAAGAAGGCCUUCGGGUUGUAAAGCUCUUUCGGUGAAGACGAAACGGUUAGCGCUAAUAACGCUGACUAAUGACGGUACUCACAGAAGAANCACCGGCUAACUACGUGCCAGCCGCCGCCGUAAUAC
rnacentral:rRNA from 1 species